rnacentral:tRNA from 13 species
GGGGUCAUAGCUCAGUUGGCUAGAGCGCCUGCCUUGCAAGCAGGAGGUCAUGGGUUCAAGUCCCAUUGAUUCCA